rnacentral:lncRNA from 1 species
GGCAAAACACCCAGAGCAGCGCCAGGGUCAAAGUGCCAUGCUAGCAGUCACCAUGGCGACAAUCCUGCUCAGUAUUCUCAUGCCUCGUCAUAGUAGAUGGCUUCCUUGGCCUCCCAACCAACGGUGGGCAACCACCCAUGCCACCCACUAUGAUGGCCCUAUCAGAAGCCAGCUCCACAUUCCUAGACAUUCAAAACUUUUAUAUGACAGCGUGCCAAGCCAAGCUCUGGAAACUUACCCUGAUCAGACCAGCUGAGGUCCCAAACCAUCUCUGAGCCUAUCUGCUCAGAGCAUAUCAGGUUCCACCCCAUGAGGAGGCUCUCCUUUAGUACAAGAGCUUCAAGGGCUUCAACGAACAAUGCAUCCUUUACAGGAUAUCAAACCAGAGCGAACGAUGGAAAGGAUCCUGGGAUCUGCUACACAACUAUCAGGUUAUCCUUUACAGAUGAAUGUCUUUAAGCUAGACUUUUGC